UACGAGGGGGGCAAGCGUUGUUCGGAAUUAUUGGGCGUAAAGGGCGCGUAGGCGGCGCCACAAGUCACUUGUGAAAACUCUGGGCUCAACUCAGAGCCUGCAAGCGAAACUGUGGUGCUGGAGUAUGGGAGAGGUGCGUGGAAUUCCCGGUGUAGCGGAGAAAUGCGUAGAUAUCGGGAGGAACACCUGUGGCGAGAGCGGCGCACUGGACCAUAACUGACACUAAGGCGCGAAAGCUAAGGGAGCAAACAGG
rnacentral:rRNA from 1 species